UACGUAGGGUGCGAGCGUUGUCCGGAAUUAUUGGGCGUAAAGGGUGCGUAGGCGGCGCGGUAAGUCGGGUGUGGAAUCUCGGAGCUUAACUCCGAAACUGCAUUCGAUACUGCCGUGCUUGAGGACUGGAGAGGAGACUGGAAUUUACGGUGUAGCGGUGAAAUGCGUAGAUAUCGUAAGGAAGACCAGUGGCGAAGGCGGGUCUCUGGACAGUUCCUGACGCUGAGGCACGAAGGUCAGGGGAGCAAACGGG
rnacentral:rRNA from 1 species